rnacentral:lncRNA from 1 species
UCAGAUACAUAUAGGGUAUGGCUUAGGCGUGCUUUUGUUAUUCCCGUAAUUUUUUUAGAUGGCAACAGUUUCAAGUCAUACAUAAAACGGUCAUAGGCACGAGAGUGCGUAAAGGUAGACCUGAUUUCCGUUUAUUCCACUGUCCGUUCGAAAAGUGUAGAAGAAAAGAAAAUACGAUAAAACCCUUGCCUUACAUCUUACGUACCCACAUCUUUAGUUAUGAGAAUGCAAGACUUGAAAAUGAAUUUAACAUACCCAUCAAAACCAACAUGCCACUUGAUAUUAUUCAACUUGGAAAUAAAUAAUACUUCAUUCUUCUCAUGGGAUUACUUUCAAUAUAUGUAUUGGGGAUUUGUGAACUUUGGAGUUUCAAACCCGCUAUCUACGACAUGUGGUACAUUAUCUCAUUUUCAGACCAAAUCUAUCACUUACUCAAGAAUAUAAAAUUUCGUUAUUAAUGUAUAAACUA